rnacentral:rRNA from 1 species
AGCAGUGGGGAAUAUUGGACAAUGGGCGCAAGCCUGAUCCAGCCAUGCCGCGUGAGUGAUGACGGCCUUAGGGUUGUAAAGCUCUUUCGCACGCGACGAUAAUGACGGUAGCGUGAGAAGAAGCCCCGGCUAACUUCGUGCCAGCAGCCGCGGUAAUACGAAGGGGGCUAGCGUUGUUCGGAAUCACUGGGCGUAAAGGGUGCGUAGGCGGAUUCUUAAGUCAGGGGUGAAAUCCCGAGGCUCAACCUCGGAACUGCCUUUGAUACUGGGGAUCUUGAGUCCGGAAGAGGUGAGUGGAACUGCGAGUGUAGAGGUGAAAUUCGUAGAUAUUCGCAAGAACACCGGUGGCGAAGGCGGCUCACUGGUCCGGAACUGACGCUGAGG